rnacentral:sRNA from 1 species
CAAUAGAAAAGGUUGUCUCUAGAGGUUUCGGCAUGCUCCCAAUGGAAAGGGGGUGAUGCUGUUUGACAGUUUUUGAAACCCUAAUGAUUAUGUUUGGUUUUGCUAGUUUAGUCAUUGCCAUUCUGACAUUUAAUCAAAAAAAAUAACCCACCGUUGAGUUAGCAGGCUCAGGUGGAUUAUUUAUACUCAUACUAGCCGAUCCUUUUGAGCGACCGUCUAUUGCAGGCCGACAUGUUGCACCAUGUUCG